rnacentral:rRNA from 1 species
AUGUGCUGUGAGCUCGAUGAGUAGGGCGGGACACGUGGUAUCCUGUCUGAAUAUGGGGGGACCAUCCUCCAAGGCUAAAUACUCCUGACUGACCGAUAGUGAACCAGUACCGUGAGGGAAAGGCGAAAAGAACCCCGGCGAGGGGAGUGAAAAAGAACCUGAAACCGUGUACGUACAAGCAGUGGGAGCCCCACCACUAAGCCAGUGGUGAACUCCACAUACGCAUCCUUUGCUGAGGAUACGGUUAACGGAGCGAAAGCGACGUUCAACCGCAAAAGAAGCAGAGGGGGCUUAGUGGUGGGGUGACUGCGUACCUUUUGUAUAAUGGGUCAGCGACUUAUAUUCUGUAGCAAGGUUAACCGAAUAGGGGAGCCGGAGGGAAACCGAGUCUUAACCGGGCGUUAAGUUGCAGGGUAUAGACCCGAAACCCGGUGAUCUAGCCAUGGGCAGGUUGAAGGUUGGGUAACACUAACUGGAGGACCGAACCGACUAAUGUUGAAAAAUUAGCGGAUGACCUGUGGCUGGGGGUGAAAGGCCAAUCAAACCGGGAGAUAGCUGGUUCUCCCCGAAAGCUAUUUAGGUAGCGCCUCGUGAAUUCAUCUCCGGGGGUAGAGCACUGUUUCGGCUAGGGGGCCAUCCCGGCUUACCAACCCGAUGCAAACUGCGAAUACCGGAGAAUGUUAUCACGGGAGACACACGGCGGGUGCUAACGUCCG